rnacentral:rRNA from 1 species
GAUGAAUGCUAGCGGCAGGCUUAACACAUGCAAGUCGAGGGGCAGCACGAUGUAGCAAUACAUUGGUGGCGACCGGCGCACGGGUGCGUAACACGUAUGGAACUUACCCUUUACUGGGAGAUAGCCCGGGGAAAUCCGGAUUAAUAUCCCAUAAUAAACGAAGUGGCAUCACUUUGUUUUGAAAGCUCCGGCGGUAAAGGAUGGCCAUGCGCACGAUUAGCUAGUAGGUGAGGUAACGGCUCACCUAGGCUACGAUCGUUAGGGGGCCUGAGAGGGUUAUCCCCCACACUGGUACUGAGACACGGACCAGACUCCUACGGGAGGCAGCAGUGAGGAAUAUUGCGCAAUGGAGGCAACUCUGACGCAGCCAUGCCGCGUGCAGGAAGAAGGCGCUACGCGUCGUAAACUGCUUUUAUCAGGGAAGAAACCCCCAGACGUGUCUGGGGUUGACGGUACCUGAGGAAUAAGCACCGGCUAACUUCGUGCCAGCAGCCGAC